rnacentral:rRNA from 1 species
CGAUCCCAUGCUUCCAGGAAAAUCUUCGCGUGGAGCCACUUGGACGCCCGUACCGGAAACCGACACAGGUGAGCUAGGAGAGAAUCCUAAGGUGCUUGAGAGAACUCUGGCCAAGGAACUCGGCAAAUUGACACCGUAACUUCGGGAGAAGGUGUGCCCUUAGUAAGUCACGUCGUACAGACUAGCUGAAAAGGGUUGCAGAGAACAGGGGGUAGCGACUGUUUACCAAAAACACAGGGGCUCUGCGAAGCCGUAAGGCGACGUAUAGGGCCUGACGCCUGCCCGGUGCUGGAAGGUUAAGAGGAGCGGUCAGCGCAAGCGAAGCUGCUAAUUGAAGCCCCAGUAAACGGCGGCCGUAACUAUAACGGUCCUAAGGUAGCGAAAUUCCUUGUCGGGUAAGUUCCGACCUGCACGAAUGGCGUAACGACUUCCCCGCUGUCUCGGCCAGAGACUCAGCGAAAUCAAACUCCGGGCGAUGAUGCCCGGUACCUGCAGCAA